rnacentral:rRNA from 1 species
GGAAACAGGUGCUAAUACCGUAUAACACUAUUUUCCGCAUGGAAGAAAGUUGAAAGGCGCUUUUGCGUCACUGAUGGAUGGACCCGCGGUGCAUUAGCUAGUUGGUGAGGUAACGGCUCACCAAGGCCACGAUGCAUAGCCGACCUGAGAGGGUGAUCGGCCACACUGGGACUGAGACACGGCCCAGACUCCUACGGGAGGCAGCAGUAGGGAAUCUUCGGCAAUGGACGAAAGUCUGACUGAGCAACGCCGCGUGAGUGAAGAAGGUUUUCGGAUCGUAAAACUCUGUUGUUAGAGAAGAACAAGGAUGAGAGUAGAACGUUCAUCCCUUGACGGUAUCUAACCAGAAAGCCACGGCUAACUACGUGCCAGCAGCCGCGGUAAUACGUAGGUGGCAAGCGUUGUCCGGAUUUAUUGGGCGUAAAGCGAGCGCAGGCGGUUUCUUAAGUCUGAUGUGAAAGCCCCCGGCUCAACCGGGGAGGGUCAUUGGAAACUGGGAGACUUGAGUGCAGAAGAGGAGAGUGGAAUUCCAUGUGUAGCGGUGAAAUGCGUAGAUAUAUGGAGGAACACCAGUGGCGAAGGCGGCUCUCUGGUCUGUAACUGACGCUGAGGCUCGAAAGCGUGGGGAGCGAACAGGAUUAGAUACCCUGGUAGUCCACGCCGUAAACGAU